GACCUCCCUGGAUCAUGUUUAGAGAGUGACCAGUGCCAGCUUUGGAAGCGGGAGGGAGACUGAGGCUGCAGAACUGCUCAUUCCAGUCCCAGCUUGCCCAGUGGCUGGUGACCGGAAGAUGCUCUGCAACAGUG
ensembl:snoRNA